CUCGUAGGCGGUUUGUCGCGUCUGUCGUGAAAUCCCAUGGCUUAACUGUGGGCUUGCGGUGGGUACGGGCAGACUAGAGUGCGGUAGGGGAGACUGGAAUUCCUGGUGUAGCGGUGGAAUGCGCAGAUAUCAGGAGGAACACCGGUGGCGAAGGCGGGUCUCUGGGCCGUUACUGACGCUGAGGAGCGAAAGCAUGGGGAGCGAACA
rnacentral:rRNA from 1 species